rnacentral:lncRNA from 1 species
AACAUCACACCCUCACCGGUGCAAUCCACUAUAAGCUUACCAUUAGCCCCUUCUCUUAAUCUACCUGCAAAUGGAUAAUAACACACUAGGGUUUGUGCAAGUGCCUCCCUAAUAACCUCAGCUGGAUCUUUUCCUUCCAUGGAAGGUUCAUAUUGAUAAAACUUGAUUAGCAGAACUUGAAACCGCAAACUCGCUUGAUCAUCAAUGUCCGAUAACAGUUUUUGUUCACGUGGCAUAGGCUUAGCAGGAGCAACAAGUUGUGGUUCACAACGUCAGACAGUGAACUUAAGGGGAAUGCUGCAAGGUGCUGCCAUGACACAAGGAUGUGAGAUAAUAGAAAAAGAAUAGCAAGUAUUUGGUCUUAAUGAAGUGUUUGAAAUGUUUUAUAUAGGAACCAAAGUGUAGAAAUUUGAAGUUUAUUUUAGGGUAAAUUAUACCAACUGUCACUCAACUUUGGGGUAGCUGACAAAACAGUCACUCAGGUUUCAAUUCAGUCACUCAACUUUCAAAAAAUAACAAAACAAUCCUUUUAAUCAGUUUCCAUUACAGACGUAACGAAAAGUUGACAUGUCAUUUAACUGGCCACGUUGGCAUCCUAGUUGUCGUUUAAAUUAUACCAAUUGUCCCUCAACUUUGGGGUAGCUAACAAAACAGUCACUCAGAUUUCAAUUUAAUCACUCAACUUUCAAAAAUUUAAUAAAGAAAUAGAGUAAAUUGAAGGAAAAAAACCAAUUAUGUCGUUGAAUUCAUGAUUGACAUGUUUGCCCGUAUUGAGAUGACUAUUACCUCGUGAUACGUGUCCAAUCACCUUUUCUUCAUCCUAUCAUUAUAAUUACAAUAGUCAAUUUUGAAGAAAUUUAUUUUACAUAGUAAAUAGGGGCGAAGUCAAAAAAUAUUUAAGGAAUUAAAAUUAAAUUGUAAUUUUUAAUAGUUUAUAUCUUUAUAGUUUUUAAAAAAAUUAAAUUAAAUUUUUAUCAUUUUUAGAAGGGACUAAAGUGUAGUUUUAUAUUUACUAAUUUAAAUUUUUUAAAUUUUUAAAAGGCCUAAAUGGAUCAUACAUGUAAAAUUUAAUAACUAAAAAAAAUUCGGAAACAAAUGAAAGAAAGAGAGGACCAAAUUUUUAUGUGAAUUUUAUAUAUUUAUGUACCAUCUUGCGGUCUUCAUGAUUCACAUUUCACAUGCUACAUUUAUGAAAGUUUUGGCCACAAAAUUUAAGUGGCUAUUCUGCGACUUAAGGGUUAUUUGGACUGUAUUUAGAGCCAUCCUUUGUCGUAUUGAGAUGAUAACAGUGCACCCAUAAAUGGAAUAUAAAGAGUAAAAUGUGAUUCAUUUAUUUUCAUGAAACGUUUUAUGUAAUUCAAAUGUUAAAUUAAGGUAAUUUGAUAAAUUGAAAAAAUUUGUGUUAAGAAAUUUAUAUUUAAAAUUAAGUUGUAAAUAUAUCUGGUAUAUUAUUUGAAGUUAAAUAUAUGAAAUACAAUUAGAUUACUUGAUAAAUUUAAAUUUAAAUUAUAUUUUUUAUUUUACAUUUGUGUCUCCUUUUUUAAAGCAUCCCGUCAGAACUAAGAACAUUAUAAACGAGCUCAUCGAAGCAAGGGAUGGUGGGUGAAGUGUUCACCAAACUGUUCAAGUGUAACAUCAGCAUCGGCUUUUAUAAACAUCACACCCUCACCGGUGCAAUCCAUUAUAAGCUUACCAUUAGCCCCUUCUCUUAAUCUACCUACAAAUGGAUAAUAACACACUAGGGUUUGUGCAAGUGCCUCCCUAAUAACCUCAGCUGGAUCCUUUCCUUCCACGGAAGGUUCAUAUUGAUAAAAGUUGAUUAGCGGAACUUGAAACCGCAAACUCGCUUGAUCAUCAAUGUCCGAUAACAGUUUUUGUUCAUAUGGCGUAGGCUUAGCAGGAGCAACAAGUUGUGGUUCACAACGUCGGACAGUGUACUUAAGGGGAAUGUUGGAAGGUGCUUCCAUGACACAAGGAUGUGAAAUAAUAGAAAAAGAAUAGCAAUUGUUUGGUCUUAAUGAAGUGUUUGAAAUGUUUUAUAUAGGAACCAAAGUGUACAAAUUUGAAAUUUAUUUUACAUCGCAUAUGUAAAUUGUAA